rnacentral:rRNA from 1 species
AGGUAGGACUACCCGCUGAACUUAAGCUAUCA